GAUGAACGCUGGCGGCGUGCCUAAUACAUGCAAGUCGAGCGAACAGAUGAGGAGCUUGCUCCUCUGACGUUAGCGGCGGACGGGUGAGUAACACGUGGAUAACCUACCUAUAAGACUGGGAUAACUUCGGGAAACCGGAGCUAAUACCGGAUAAUAUAUUGAACCGCAUGGUUCAAUAGUGAAAGACGGUUUUGCUGUCACUUAUAGAUGGAUCCGCGCCGCAUUAGCUAGUUGGUAAGGUAACGGCUUACCAAGGCAACGAUGCGUAGCCGACCUGAGAGGGUGAUCCGCCACAUGGGAAGUGAGACAGGGUAGAGACUACUACGGUAGGCAACAGUAGGGAAUCCUCCGCGAGGGGCGAAAGCGUGACAGAGCAACGUCGCGUGAGUGAUGAAGGUGUCCGGCUCGUAAAACUCUGUUAUUAGGGAAGAACAAAUGUGUAAGUAACUAUGAACGUAUUGACGGUACCCAAUCAGAAAGCCACGGCUAACUACGUG
rnacentral:rRNA from 1 species